rnacentral:misc_RNA from 1 species
AAAUUUUGUUCAUGUCUAUUCUGUUAUGAUUGGUCUUAUCAAAUUAUAUUUUUUAACAUGGUUAAUAUUUCUAGUUUUCUAUUAGAUUAUUAUUCGUUUCAUAUAAACUGCGGUGGAAGGACCAAUCGCCAUUGGGAAGUUCCGCUAUGAAGCAGAUGAAGGGUAUGGAGGUGAAGCACAAUAUGUUCCCUCGAAAGACAACUGGGCAUUUAGUACCAGUGGACAUUUUCGGGAUAAAAAUAACACAGCAGACAUGUACAUAGCAAAAAAUGUGUCCAUACUACGAAUGAGCAGCUCUGAAUUGUAC